rnacentral:rRNA from 1 species
AAUGGAUAAAUGGAGAUAAGCUUUUUUUAAAAAAAAAUUUGAAUUUAGAUUAAAAAUAAAAAUGUUUUUAUAAUUUUAUUAGACGAGAAGACCCUAAAAUCUUAAAUUAUUAAAAAAUAAUUUUAAUUGGGGCAAUUAAAAAAUAAAAAGUAAUUUUAUCAAGAAAGUUUAAAAAAUAAAUAGAUAAGAUACUUUAGGGAUAACAGCGUAAUUAUUAUGGAGAGUUCAUAUUGAUAUAGUAGUUUGCGACCUCGAUGUUGAAUUGAUGAGUCUAUAUGGNGGAGAGACUAUAA